rnacentral:rRNA from 1 species
AGUUAGCGGCGGACGGGUGAGUAACACGUGGGUAACCUGCCUGUAAGACUGGGAUAACAUUCGGAAACGAAUGCUAAUACCGGAUACGCGGCUUGGUCGCAUGACCGAGCCGGGAAAGAUGGAGCAAUCUAUCACUUAUAGAUGGACCCGCGGCGCAUUAGCUAGUUGGUGAGGUAACGGCUCACCAAGGCGACGAUGCGUAGCCGACCUGAGAGGGUGAUCGGCCACACUGGGACUGAGACACGGCCCAGACUCCUACGGGAGGCAGCAGUAGGGAAUCUUCCGCAAUGGACGAAAGUCUGACGGAGCAACGCCGCGUGAGUGAUGAAGGUUUUCGGAUCGUAAAGCUCUGUUGCCAGGGAAGAAUGCUUGGGAGAGUAACUGCUCUCAAGGUGACGGUACCUGAGAAGAAAGCCCCGGCUAACUA